AGGGGCUUGCAAUUAGCAUAUUGAGGUUAAUUUCAACCUGGAAGCAAUCGCACGUGCUCAGCUCAGCAGUGAUAAGAGCCGGUCUGGAAUACACAUUAUCCCCAUUACCUGUGCAUGUAUUUGUAGUUGGGUAAACAGUUUAGGUUUCUGCCUGAUGCCGCUGGUGGCUUAUCAAUCGCUUUUUCGCUCUCGUCUCGUGCAAAAUAACAUUUUGUUAUCUUUUUCCCAUGCCAAUGCAAACAAACAAAUGUCGAAUGUGUUUCACUUUCGUGUGCGAGUCUCGUGCCGCUUCACGUUGCCCGGUUUCUGGUUUCCAGUUUCCAGAUCCGAAGUCAUCCAAACAUACACUCGCAAUGCAACCUCACUCGCUCACACACACACAUGCACACGUAAAGUGCUCUUUCCUGAAGAGCUUUUACCCGUCUGUCCUCCUCCUCUCAGUGUUGUUUGUUUUUUUGAGAAUAAACAAAAUUGUUAUUUUAGCGGAAAAAUACAAAAAAAAAAGCUAAUGGCAAACGAAUGUUGCAAAAAAUGAGCGGGAAGAGCUGUCGACGAUUUCUAUUGCUAAGGGAAAGAAAUCCCAUUGGGUUUAUAUAUGUAUUCCUUUGAAAGGGUCACAGGUUUAGGGAUCGGUAGAUUGCGGUAAAGAAGCAAUAGAGCCAGCUGAUCCGUGAGGUAGUCGAGCAAUUUCAAUCUCCAGAAAUGAGAAAACAUAAAUAUGUGCGGCUAUUAAUGCUGAUACAAGAUCGUUUAAAAGAAAAGGGCGAAAAACCCAGCUAGCCCGACAUUGCCGACAGCUAGAAGAGGGCUAAAAAGUGUGUGUUGGCGGGAAAAAGGCGAAAUUGGCAACACUGUCUUCAUCUAUCUAUCUCUCCAUCGAUAUCAGCUGCAGCUGCUUCGCUUUACCUGUAUCAGAAGUUGUGUGUGUGUGUGUGGAGAGAGAGAGUGUGCGUGUGUUUGUGUGCUCUUGUUGUUGUUUGCUCUCUCUGGUCGUCACGCUUGAGCGCCGCUCCACGGAACGUGAGGCUCUUCUAAAUAUUCAGAUUCCGACAGACAUGUUCCGAGUGCCGCCUUCCUUCUUAGUUUUUAUUUUCCUGUAGCGACGCUCGUGCACUGCACUGUGCAAAUAAAUGUUUGCCUCGAGUAUAGUUUUUGGAGUAGGCACGGACACACACACACACACAGACACACAGACAGCUGCAUAGCAAGGCAGGCACUGGGAAUGACAUGCACUCAUUCAGUCCGUCUGUCAAUCAUGCAUACGAUUGUGUUUACUGUAGCCGGUGGGGGCACCACUUCAGGAAAGCCCCCCCCCCCCAGGGCCCCCGGAGAUCAACCCUCAACAAGUUAUUGGGCCAUAGCCUACAAUAUCUAUCCAUCUCCCUCUGCAGUGCUCCGUGUAUCACUUAAUGCCCAUAUUUCGGAAGAUGAGAGGAUGACAAUGAAUGGUUCGAAACGCAUUUAAGUGGAAAGUACAUAAAUUACUGCGGAAAGGUGUCGAAAAUGACGAGGGGACACACCGACACAAUGAUACAGAAAUGGCUGACCAUUGCAAAAUGGCGUUCCAUUUACAGUUGCGAAAUGCACGCAGUUGUUGUGGGUAAUCAAAAAUUCAGGGAUGGAAGAGCGCGGAUUACUCGCAGAAUUGUUGCGCCUUCAGCAGGGACGGGGAAGGUUGGGGAAGGCCAACGAGCGAAGCUUAAACCAGAGACAACAACAAACCAGAGCCAUCAGCUCUCUACCUAUUUCCAAGAUGGCGCCGCGAAGUCAUUAAAAGUGACAGCUGUCCGAGAAGGGAGGAGCAGAGUCUGCGGCUGUAAUACCAUAUGUCGUGUCAGAUCAUGGCAUUCGAACAACCCUCGACAAGGCCGCAUACUCGUCUGUAUCUCCUUACAUAUGGUGUACAUAAUAUACAUACAUACAUACAUACAUACAUGCAUAUAUGAUGUAUGGGAGACAUGCAUGCGACAGGUGGCAAUUAAAUUAUUUGACACCACAAUAAAUGGGUAAAAGCAAAAAAAAAAAAAAAACUGAAGAGGGGCGGCCAUUUUGUUUUGCUGACUGUUUCGCUGUUGUUGUUGUUGUUGUUGUUGUUCCUACGAAACGUAAAAUGAAUUCCUAGAAUUUGCUUUUAAUGAUGUACAAUUAACUCUAAUUUGAUGAGAAUAUGCAAGCAAAGCAAAAGUGUUGGAAUUGCCAGACAGCCGACGACCGACGACCGACGCCGAAGUCCAUCGGAAUAGCAGCACCAAAAAAAUUCAAAAGAAUUACGUUUCUAAUUAGCUUGAUUGCCCCUGCAAUCUUGCCUGGAGAGAUCUCUUGGAAAAUGCUUGUGAAAACACUUUCCACACGCGGGCGGGCGUCGGGUGCUACCUGAGACUCCGCUUAGCCGCCACUCUGCCACUCCGCCACCUGUCGUCGUCGUCUGACUCUGGCUCUCCCGUUGCCCGGGUCAGCCUUCCUCUCAGGGAUACACAUUUUAAUUGCUUUUCCGGGGAGGGAACGGACGUCGUCCAGAGUCCAGUGCGUAAUUAAAGUUGACUGCGACUUCGAUGGUGCGGGGAGGGGAGGGGAGGGGAUCAGUGUGGCAACGGAAGGGAGACAGACGUACCAUACCGUGUCUGUGCGUCUGUGCUUUCUCUAUCACACUCCUGUCCCUCUGCCGGGGAUUAGGUGCUACACAGGACAUAAUCCGAUCACAAAAAGCGGAUUAUAACGCACAAUACAACAAAAAUUGUGCACUCGGGCUACGGAGAACAGCAGAGAAACAGAGAGCGAGAGAGAGAUAGAGAGGGAGCUGCAGCCAAAACACCAACAAAAGAGAUAGAGAGAGAGGGAGAGGGAGAGUAUUGACGUAACUUUAAAUUGAAGCGUUUUGCCAUGCGGGGAGUGGGGGAAUAGGCUUAUAAGCCUACGGAUUGGAGUGGCGGAGUGCCGGGGCAGGGGAGAUUCAUCUCUCUGGCAGAGUUCCAUCCCCCCGACCCUCCCCCGCAUAAGCCGCAGAAGUCCUGAAAAGCGACAGCCCGACUGACGUUCAAUCCAGUACGAGAGACGUAAGCAGAUUUUUAAGCUGCGUCAGCUUUUGGCCCACGCCCACGCCCACACCCACGCCCAUACCAAUCUUGGAUCUAUCCAUGUACACAGACAUAUAUUGGUUAUAUAUAUAUAUAUAUAUAUAUAUACAUGUGUUUUCCUAUUCCGAUUCCUGCAUCACUGCAUCUGCGUCACGUGGCAGCAUACACCCGCGGGCGUUGGAGUCUUACCGGUUUGUGUGUAUCUAUCUCUAGGCUUGGGGGCCAAUCGCCAUUUUGGAAAAUACUUGUACACAUCUCUAUCUGUCUGUGUGUGUGUGUGUGCGGCUGUGUCUGUUGAUGUCAUGGCCUCCGGGAGCAGGAACAAUUGCACCAGGCACAAAAAGAACCGCAAACCGCAGCAGCAGCAGCAGCAACGGCAGAAGCAGAAGCAGAAGCAAAAGCAGUGCCAGUGGCAGUGGCUGGCUCUGGGUCUGGGGCUGCAACAUCGGCAGCGGCGACGGUGGCUGCGACGGUGGCUUUGGUAAGCUCUAGAGACCAUGGAGCCACCGCCACCAGCCCCCCCUGUCGGACCGACAAAACCACAAACGUCCAAACCAGCGUCGUCUGCAGCAGCCGCUCUGUGCUCCAAAAUUCCCGGGGAAGAGACCAGCUCCAGUGCCAGUCCGUUCAUUAGUUUGCGGUUUUCUGGUUUCGUUUCAUUUCUAGCCCCCCGCAUCCUCCCUCCCCCCCACCGAGGGACACAUACCCUUUGAGGGGAAUGUAAUAAUUACCGUACCUGUACCUGCAACAGGGUCUACGACUACAAUCGAAGAUGAUACAACGAUCUAAGCAUGCAGAAACCCCUCCAGAGGUUAUUGUUUCCAUUCACUUCAAGGACACAUUCGGUGGACUUUCAUUUCUCAAUUUUUCGGGUGAGAGAUCACCAGCUGAAUAAAUAUGCAUACCAAAUAUUUGCCAUAUUCUUUUCAAUGAAGCACAACUCAUUAGGUCUUGUUUCUUUGAUUAUUUAAGUGACUCGAAAGAAAGAGACGAGUAUUUGUCAUUGAAGGUUCAAACCUUGAAAUCGCACACGCAGGAAGCCCAACAGCUGUUCUUUUAUUUGGUUUCUUUCGUCUCUAUGGUAUACAUUCCACUUAAUCAUUAUAUAUAGCAUUUAUUAACAGCCGAUUCGGUUAAACGAAAUUCUCGAAGCGAAUUUAUCCAUGGGCCAUUCGGUUAUGGGAAAGAGACUAGCGCUAGAGCAACAGGAUUUUAUGGGCAGACUCCCGUGAUAUCAGACAGAAACAAGUGUCCGCAAAAAUACAAGUUCCAAUGAAUCACCUGAUGAGGAGGGCACGGCACGGCCACAAUGGAAUCCAUAAUGAUGCCAAAUGAUGACAUUUACUGUGAAUAUUCUAUUUUAUUUACACACAAGCACGACGACUACUCGUACUGCUCCUGCAGCUCUUUUUGGCAGUUCACUUUUAAUGGGUUCCAUCGAUUUUCCCAUAAAGCAAAGCAAAACUUUUCUUCAGUUGGUUCUUUCCGUGCCAUUUACGAUUUCCAUACAAUUAAAUCUUUACGACUGCCAUAAAUUGGUAGCAAACCGGAGAAGGACACACACAGCUGAAGUACACUCGUUCGUUCUGCGGGAUUGUGUGUAUCUAUGUAUCUAUCUACUGGCUUGUCAUAAACAAACCAUUAAUUGACAGACCUCAAAGUAAAUGUCUAUGGUCUAUGCUAUCCUUGCUGGGAAACCAUUAGAUCUUGGAAUACCCAAAAACCACUUAGGCAGGCACUUGAAAAAUCACUUGAAUUUCGGAUUCUCGGAAAGAUAUACGAUAUACCAAACAUAUAUUCCCCAUAUUUAUCCCUCUAAUUGCGAAAUCAUGUAUGUUUUGGAUGCAUACGAGUACUUUUUAUGGCAUCAUUUAAAUAUAUGUUCACGAGUA